CAUAACUCUCUUUUCUUCCUGAGCUUGACUACAUUUCCCAGCGUCCUUUGGAGUGAGACUACAUCUCCCAGCAUCCUGGCAGUUAGACAAUUUUCUAGUCUCCUUUGCAGGGAUCUUGGAAGCCCCAUGUUGAAGGUGGCAGAGCAACAAAAAUUGAGGAAACCCUGAAUCCCUGAAUUACUAUUUGGAGAUGACCACCCACUAAUUCGGAACACUCAUUAUUGGGCUUUAGGAGAAUGAGAAGUUCUAUCAUGUUUGAGACUCCGUACAUCUUUGGAUUUGUUUUAACAGCUAGUUUUACCCUGGCUAACAUGGCAAUUGACAGCCUCUGAGAGGAGAUUUGGAGAAUCUGCUUUUUUAACAAGUACUCCAGGGGAGUUUGAGAAUCACUGCUGAAAGCCAAGGGGAGCCAGCCACCCAAGGAUUUAACGCUGACCAAGGAACACCACGCUAUUUGCAUUUUAGAAUGACAGCAAGGGAGCAGAACUCUGCCCCCUUCUUGUCUGCCAAGGAGAACAAUCUACUGACUCAAAAGAAAAAGAAAACUUUGGUAAGAGAAAAUUGAAGCUCUAGAUGAGUGAAAAGAUUCUAACAGCACCAAGCUGCCGUAAAUGAGCUCAAGUCUCCUGGCCAGGACAAAUUACACUCCAGGGAGUAGAGAGAACUCGCCUCUGAAGCUGUAAAGCCUCUGCUGAUAAUCUUUACAGAACAUGGAGACUGUGAAAGAAAUUGGAACGCUAGAAAUGGCAAAAUAUAGCUCUGAU
rnacentral:lncRNA from 10 species